rnacentral:rRNA from 1 species
UACGUAGGGUGCGAGCGUUAAUCGGAAUUACUGGGCGUAAAGCGUGCGCAGGUGGGCAGGAAAGUCAGUGGUGAAAUCUUCAAGCUUAACUUGGAAACUGCCAUUGAUACUAUUUGUCUUGAAUUAUCUGGAGGUAAGCGGAAUAUGUCAUGUAGCGGUGAAAUGCUUAGAUAUGACAUAGAACACCCAUUGCGAAGGCAGCUUACUACGGAUAUAUUGACACUGAGGCACGAAAGCGUGGGGAUCAAACAGG